rnacentral:rRNA from 1 species
UACGAAGGGGGCUAGCGUUGCUCGGAAUGACUUGGGGCGUAAAAGGGGCGCGUAGGCGGUUGUACACAGUCAGGCGUGAAAAUUCCCCGGGCUCAACCUGGGGGCCUGGCGCUUGAUAACAUGUACGCUUGAGCUCGGAAGAGGUCGUGGAAUUCCCAGUGUAGAGGUGAAAUUCGUAGAUAUUCGAAGAACACCAGUGGCGAAGGCGACUUACUGGACACAUAGUUGACGCUGAGGUGCGAAAGCGUGGGGAGCAAACAGGG